rnacentral:rRNA from 1 species
AGUGAACGCUGGCUGUAGGCCUAACACAUGCAAGUCGAACGGCAGCACAGUAAGAGCUUGCUCUUACGGGUGGCGAGUGGCGGACGGGUGAGGAAUACAUCGGAAUCUACUUUUUCGUGGGAGAUAACGUAGGGAAACUUACGCUAAUACCGCAUACGACCUACGUGUGAAAGCAGGGGAUCUUCGGACCUUGCGCGAUUGAAUGAGCCGAUGUCGGAUUAGCUAGUUGGCGGGGUAAAGGCCCACCAAGGCGACGAUCCGUAGCUGGUCUGAGAGGAUGAUCAGCCACACUGGAACUGAGACACGGUCCAGAAUACUACGGGAGGCAGCAGUGGGGAAUAUUGGACAAUGGGCGCAAGCCUGAUCCAGCCAUACCGCGUGGGUGAAGAAGGCCUUCGGGUUGUAAAGCCCUUUUGUUGGGAAAGAAAAGCAGCAGGUUAAUACCCCGCUGUUCUGACGGUACCCAAAGAAUAAGCACAGGCUAACUUCGU